rnacentral:rRNA from 1 species
GUCUACGGCCACACCACCCCGAACGUGCCCGAGCCCGUCUGAUCUCGGAAGCUAAGCAGGGUCAGGCCUGGUUAGUACUUGGAUGGGAGACCACCUAGGAAGACCAGGUGCUGUAGGCG